GAGAGAGACAUGCGCGCAUAUCAAUAAGCGGAGGAAAAGAAACUAACUAGGAUUCCCUCAGUAACGGCGAGUGAAGCGGGAAGAGCUCAAAUUUGAAAUCUUCAAGGUUCUACCUUGACGAAUUGUAGUUUAAAGAAGUGUUUUCUGUUGGAGUUUUGGUAAAAGUUCUUUGGAAUAGGACAUCAUAGAGGAUGAGAAUCCCGUAUUUGACCAUUAUUUCCAGCUUUGUGAUACACUUUCAAAGAGUCGGAUUGUUUGGGAAUGCAGUCCAAAAUGGGUGGUAAAUUUCAUCUAAAGCUAAAUAUUGGCGAGAGACCGAUAGCGAACAAGUACCGUGAGGGAAAGAUGAAAAGAACUUUGAAAAGAGAGUUAAACAGUACGUGAAAUUGUCAAAAGGGAAGCGUUUGACACCAGUGUUGUUUUCUCGAAAAUCAAUUAAAAAGAGUCAGAUUUUGUGUUGUAUUGACCUUAAUCAGCUUCUGCACUCAAUUUUCUUGUCUUUUUUUAAUGCACUUUUCGUUUAACAAGUCAACAUCAGUUUCUUUUGUUGUAAAAGGGUCAUUGGAAGGUGGCUUUCUUUUCGGAGAAAGUGUUUAUAGCCUUUGGCCUCUGCAAUCGGAGAGAUUGAGGUCUGCAGCGUAGAUCCUUCGGGGUUAGAUACAUUUGUGCUAAGUUAUAGCCUUUCAUAGACAACUUGUUGACUAUGAUCAGUCAUGUAGCUUACUCGCUUAUGCUAUUUUACCUACGCUUAGGAUGUUGAUGUGAUACUGCGAGCA
rnacentral:rRNA from 1 species